UACGUAGGGGGCAAGCGUUGUCCGGAUUUAUUGGGCGUAAAGAGCGUGUAGGCGGUUUGGUAGGUCCGCUGUGAAAACUCGAGGCUCAACCUCGAGACGCCGGUGGAAACCAUCAGGCUAGAGUCCGGAAGAGGAGAGUGGAAUUCCUGGUGUAGCGGUGAAAUGCGCAGAUAUCAGGAAGAACACCGAUUGCGAAGGCAGCUCGCUGGAACGUUACUGACGCUGAGACGCGAAAGCGUGGGGAGCAAACAGG
rnacentral:rRNA from 1 species